GAAAAUUCAACUAGAUUUAUAAAAUAAGAAAACAAAACAAAAUUUUGCUUGUCACUUGGCCUAAAACUCAAAACAAACAAGCCCUAACGCCACACAAAUAAAUCAAAUAAAAGGAAAACAGACCCAAAAGCAGUAAAAGGACCACGGGCCACUAAAAUAACUAACAAAAUAAAAUAAAACAGGAAACUUAAACUUUAAAAUAUCUUCAGUAGACAGAAACAGCUGGACCACUUUAAUAACAUUUCUCUUUUCUCUGAAUCGUCACUGCCAUUAAAAGCAGAGCUAUUUAUAUCUGCAGAAAAGACUCUGGCUCCCACCUUGGGAGCUGCUGUCAGAUAUCUAGAUCGUAUGCUAAGGUUUGAUCCAUUCCAUAGUAGAAAGGUAAAGAGAUAGGAGAGUGAGGCUAGCUUUGGGCAUCCCCUAAGCCCUGAUGUGCCUACAACGACACUUUUAGACCUUUGUUGAUGUACAUUAAUUGUUUUUCCAGCUGGUGGAGCUAAGACAAUAGGCCUUUAGAAAGCAGAGCUAUUACCACUGCCUACCCAAAAGAGCACGAAGGUAAAUAACCCACACCUUCCUUCAAUGCUUCCUCUUCUAUAACAUGCGCAAGUAUUUGGAUCAAUGGUUUAAUAUUCUCUACUUGUGUUAUUUUUUUGUUGUGUUGAAAUUUUUUAAAAAAUGGAAAUAUUGUAGUACAUGAAUUGCAUUUUAAUUAUAAAUAUAUAUACUCCAGUGCUAUGAAGCAUGGACACGGACAUGCAAUACGGAUACGACACGAUAUGAAUACGGUGAUACAGUAAUUUUUAAAAAAUAAGGACACGAAUAUGGAAGGAUACGACAAUAAAAAAAUAUUUUAUAAUUUUUAUAUAUUUUUAUAUUAAAAUACUCAAAUGUAAAUGAAAAUAUUGAUAUUUUUGCUAUUUUUAAACUACUAUAAUUUGUUUUUGAUUUUCUUACCCUAUUAUAAUUAUAUAAUAUAUUAACUACUUUUGUUUCUUUCUUACGCAAACAGCCCUUUUUUUUUCCCAUUUACCCUUUUUUUCCCUCCUCAUCUACUACAGACAGCUUUACACUCAUAUACCCUUUAUUUUCUUCCCCAUUUACUCCUUUUUCUUCCCUCCUCAUUUACUACUUUUACCUUUGCCUUUGUAUUUCUUCUCUGCAAAACAUUCAUCUACAAAACUUUCAGCAUCAUCAUCUUCACUUCAUAUAAGCGAACAGACUCCAAAGAAGGCAAGUGUGUCAAAAAUCCCAUAAAUUAUCAUGAUUAAAUGUUAAAUUUAUGCUUUUUAUCUGUUUUCUAAAGUUCUAUUAUUGUAUAUGGGUUUUUUCCCCUUUCUGAUUCAGGCCAAAAGAAAGUCUGGUAGUGUGCCUUUUUUGACACGUGUCGAGGUGUGUCCAGUAUGUAUCUGGCUGUGUCGGCGGUGUGUCCGUGUCGGACACCAGUACGACACUGGUACGAGGGGAUUUUCCCCGUGUCGGUGCUUCAUAGAUCCGGUGGGAUGCUCCAAUGGGGUUGACGCAGGCAGGUUAGGUUUUCGGGCCGACACAUGUAGGAGAGAGGGUCAAGAGGUUUUAAAGGAGAAGAUGAAGAGAAGGAAAAUGAGGAAGAUAAGGAAGAAGAUGAUAAAGAAGUCUAAGUGCAGCGUGUUCUUAAGGAACAGGGGGAAAGUGGAUGCAAAGAUGUUACAGACAUUAGAUGAACAGUACGCCCUGUGAUUGCAGUGCAAAAGAAUCAAUGGAGUUUUGAGGGUAAUGGGGUUUUUUCUCUACUUCUCUUGCAAUGGCUAAGCUAUUUCUUUCUUUUUCUCUCUCUAUAUUUUAACAAUAUUCCAACACAAGCUUUUGAUGUUUUUGAAAAUUUCGAAACCAAUUUCAAAAGGAGUUGUUUGAAAAACAGGGAUCGACUUUUGAAAAAUGAAAACGAGAGUCGUCACUAAUCUUUUAAAGUGUGAUUGGAUCACUAUAUAAAACGUUUUGGUCUACGAAAUUGUGAGAAAACAGGUUCGGGAGUUAAUUACGUUCGAGGAAGGAUUAGCACCAUCGUAACGUUUAAAAUUGGCACCAAAUUGGAUAAAUAUUUAUCUCAAUGCCAAAAUUUUGAGAAUAUUAAAAAAAAUGCGAUAUUAAAAAAAAUGCGAUUUUCUUAUUUUCGUAAUAAUUCAAAUUAAGAGAAUCGAGAUUCAUUCGCUUUGAAGGAAUAAUAAAUAUCACAUUCAGCAUAAUUGGACACAAUACUUUUAAACUUUCGUCCCAUGAUUUAUAAAACCUGCUUAAAAAUGAUAUUUUAGAUAUUUAGAUAAAUGGAAAAUUGCAACUCAGCAUAUUAGGGUACUAUUUCUCAAAUUUCAAAACAUCUAAAACAUUGUCUCGUUCAUUUUCUAAAAGUUUUUUUUAAUGACUUUUGGUUUUGAAAGUAAUGAUAUGUUUCACAUAUUAUAAGAAAUUAAAUACAAUAUAUAUAUAUGCUUUAUCAUUUCAUGCAAAUAUAAUAAAGGUGACGAACAAGGAUUUAAAUUAUCUAAUAUGUUAUUAUUUCAUGCAUGGUCAUAAAUAGUAUCAUUACAUACACAAUACAACAUAGAAUAUAAUGAAUUCAAUAAUAUAAAUUGUAUAAUGC
rnacentral:lncRNA from 1 species